CCCAGACUCCUACGGGAGGCAGCAGUGGGGAAUAUUGCACAAUGGGGGAAACCCUGAUGCAGCGACGCCGCGUGAGCGAGGAAGUAUUUCGGUAUGUAAAGCUCUGUCAGCAGGGAAGAAGAAUGACGGUACCUGAAGAAGAAGCACCGGCUAAAUACGUGCCAGCAGCCGCGGUAAUACGUAUGGUGCAAGCGUUAUCCGGAUUUACUGGGUGUAAAGGGAGCGCAGGCGGUUCUGCAAGUCUGAUGUGAAAGCCCGGGGCUCAACCGCGGGACUGCAUUGGAAACUGCGGGACUGGAGUGUCGGAGGGGUAAGCGGAAUUCCUGGUGUAGCGGUGAAAUGCGUAGAUAUCAGGAGGAACACCGGUGGCGAAGGCGGCUUACUGGACGUUGACUGACGCUGAGGCUCGAAAGCGUGGGGAGCAAACAGGAUUAGAUACCCCGGUAA
rnacentral:rRNA from 1 species